rnacentral:rRNA from 1 species
UACGUAGGGUGCAAGCGUUGUCCGGAAUUAUUGGCGUAAAGAGCUCGUAGGCGGUCUGUCGCGUCUGCUGUGAAAACUCAGGGCUUAACCCUGAGCUUGCAGUGGGUACGGGCAGACUAGAGUGCGGUAGGGGAGACUGGAAUUCCUGGUGUAGCGGUGAAAUGCGCAGAUAUCAGGAGGAACACCGGUGGCGAAGGCGGGGUCUCUGGGCCGAUACUGACGC